rnacentral:rRNA from 1 species
GUGGGGAAUCUUCCGCAAUGGACGAAAGUCUGACGGAGCAACGCCGCGUGAGUGAUGACGGCCUUCGGGUUGUAAAGCUCUGUGAUCGGGGACGAAUGGCUGGUAUGCUAAUACCAUAUCAGAGUGACGGUACCCGAAUAGCAAGCCACGGCUAACUACGUGCCAGCAGCCGCGGUAAUACGUAGGUGGCAAGCGUUGUCCGGAAUUAUUGGGCGUAAAGCGCGCGCAGGCGGCUUCUUAAGUCCAUCUUAAAAGUGCGGGGCUUAACCCCGUGAUGGGAUGGAAACUGGGAGGCUGGAGUAUCGGAGAGGAAAGUGGAAUUCCUAGUGUAGCGGUGAAAUGCGUAGAGAUUAGGAAGAACACCGGUGGCGAAGGCGACUUUCUGGACGACAACUGACGCUGAGGCGCGAAAGCGUGGGGAGCAAACAGGAUUAGAUACCCCGGUAGUCC